GCCAGCAGCCAUAUCACCCUGUAACUCUCAACUGGCAGCCCACUGAAGCUCAGCAGGGUUGAGCCUGGCCAGUACCUGGAUGGGAGACCUGGGAAGGGAUGGUUGCUCCUGGAA
rnacentral:rRNA from 1 species